rnacentral:rRNA from 1 species
UACGGGGGGGGGCAAGCGUUGUUCGGAAUUACUGGGCGUAAAGGGCUCGUAGGCGGCCAACUAAGUCAGACGUGAAAUCCCUCGGCUUAACCGGGGAACUGCGUCUGAUACUGGAUGGCUUGAGUUUGGGAGAGGGAUGCGGAAUUCCAGGUGUAGCGGUGAAAUGCGCAGAUAUCAGGAAGAACACCCGUGGCGAAGGCGGCUUUCUGGGACGGUACUGACGCUGAGACGCGAAAGCGUGGGGAGCGAACAGG